GACGAACGCUGGCGGCGUGCUUAACACAUGCAAGUCGAACGGUGAAGCGCCUUCCUUUUUGGUGGGUGUGGAUGAGUGGCGAACGGGUGAGUAACACGUGAGUAACCUGCCCCCUUCUUCUGGAUAACCGCAUGAAAGUGUGGCUAAUACGGGAUAUUCUGGGUCUGUCGCAUGAUGGGUCUGGGAAAGAUAUUGUUUCGGUGGGGGAUGGGCUCGCGGCCUAUCAGCUUGUUGGUGGGGUGAUGGCCUACCAAGGCGGUGACGGGUAGCCGGCCUGAGAGGGUGGACGGUCACGCUGGGGCUGAGACACGGCCCAGACUCCUACGGGAGGCAGCAGUGUGGAAUAGUGCACAAUGGGCGCAAGCCUGAUGCAGCGACGCCGCGUGAGGGAUGGAGGCCUUCGGGUUGUGAACCUCUUUCGCCAGUGAAGCAGGCCUGCCUCGUUUGUGGGUGGGUUGACGGUAGCUGGAUAAGAAGCGCCGGCUAACUACGUG
rnacentral:rRNA from 1 species